GCUGGGCAUGGUGGUGCAGGCCUGUAGUCCUGGCUACUCAGGAGGCUGAGGCAGGAGGAUAGCAAAUUUGAGGCCAGCCUGGGUAAUUUAGUGAGACCCUGUCUCAA
rnacentral:sRNA from 1 species